GCAUGUGGCUCAGUGGUAGAGUACCUGCCUAGCAAGUGUGAGGCCCUGGGUUCAAUCCCCAGUACUGCA
rnacentral:tRNA from 1 species